CCUUGCUCCCUUUUCCCGUUUCCUUCUUUUACAACGCUUUCUGUCUUCACGUGAAAGGAGCAAAUCAACGGAAUCACUAGCUAUAUACCCCGAUGCCUUUUCCCUAUUCAGUUAAUGAGUGGAACCUUGAAGAUUAUAAUGUAAUGUUGGGAGGAGCCACAAUUCGUCCAGAAGACAUUUUGGGAUAAAAAUUCUUUCAAAAGUUUUUGAAAAAGCAUACAGCGUACAUUUUAAUCUAUUGAAUGCAAGAAGAUCAAGAAUUCAGAGUGAAAUUACUUCAUCCUUGGCUAUAGAUGAUCAUCUGAUUGCAACAUCUUUAGUCCCCAGAUCAAAUACUUAGAACUUAGUUUUGUUUUGAUGUGGAACCCUUCAGAAUUUUAUAGAUUAUAGUUAAAU